rnacentral:rRNA from 1 species
AGAGUUUGAUCCUGGCUCAGAACGAACGCUGGCGGCGUGCUUAACACAUGCAAGUCGAACGUGAUUCAGAGCUUGCUCUGAUGAAAGUGGCGCACGGGUGAGUAACGCGUGGAUAACCUGCCCUGGUAUCUGGGAUAACAUCUCGAAAGGGGUGCUAAUACCGGAUAAGCCCACGGGAUCCUCGGAUUCUGCCGGAAAAGGUGGCCUCUCAUUAUAAAGCUACGGAUCACGAUGGUCUCGCCUACCACUUACCAUGUUGUGUGGGUAAAGGGCCCAACAAGGGGAC